rnacentral:rRNA from 1 species
UUGCUAGCUUGCUAAUAAUUCUCUAGUGGCGCACGGGUGAGUAACACGUGAGUAACCUGCCCCCAAGAGUGGGAUAGCCCCGGGAAACUGGGAUUAAUACCGCAUAAAAUCGCAAGAUUAAAGCAGCAAUGCGCUUGGGGAUGGGCUCGCGUCCUAUUAGUUAGUUGGUGAGGUAACGGCUCACCAAGGCGAUGACGGGUAGCCGGUCUGAGAGGAUGUCCGGCCACACUGGAACUGAGACACGGUCCAGACACCUACGGGUGGCAGCAGUCGAGAAUCAUUCACAAUGGGGGAAACCCUGAUGGUGCGACGCCGCGUGGGGGAAUGAAGGUCUUCGGAUUGUAAACCCCUGUCAUGUGGGAGCAAAUUAAAAAGAUAGUACCACAAGAGGAAGAGACGGCUAACUCUGUGCCAGCAGCCGCGGUAAUACAGAGGUCUCAAGCGUUGUUCGGAAUCACUGGGCGUAAAGCGUGCGUAGGCGGUUUCGUAAGUCGUGUGUGAAAGGCGGGGGCUCAACCCCCGGACUGCACAUGAUACUGCGAGACUAGAGUAAUGGAGGGGGAACCGGAAUUCUCGGUGUAGCAGUGAAAUGCGUAGAUAUCGAGAGGAACACUCGUGGCGAAGGCGGGUUCCUGGACAUUAACUGACGCUGAGGCACGAAGGCCAGGGGAGCGAAAGGGAUUAGAUACCCCUGUAGUCCUGGCAGUAAACGGUGCACGCUUGGUGUGCGGGGAAUCGACCCCCUGCGUGCCG